rnacentral:misc_RNA from 1 species
AGGGGCUGACAUUGAUUGAUGUCCAUGACUGCAGAGUCCAGGCACUCUAGGCAGAGCUUCCGACCAUCAUUAAGUGCAACAUAUCCUGUGUCUCGUGGCUCCAUUCGCUCACAGCUGCAGCACCGGGGAGUACCAUCGUGUUCAUGAGAUGGGCAGUAUUUCUGGAUCCAAAAAGGAUGUGCCCUAUAUUCAAUAAGACCAGCAGGGUUUGUUGGAAUAAAGUACUUGCAAACAUCACAUUUAGGAUGGUACUGCUCCUUGUAGCAAGAUUUAUGAUAACGAUAAUUACCAUACACAGAGAACUCAUAAUCAGAAAUUGGUAGGUUGCAGGCAUGGCACCGGAAACAUUCUGGAUGCCAAAAUGCAUUGAGACAAUUUAGAAAUCUUCCAUGACCAAUCUCUGCAUUGCAACC